CCGGAUGACUCUCUUUUACGGAGACACCUUCUUAAGCACUGAAAAAAUGGUUUACAUGGAUCCAGACAAAACCUGCGCUGUCUUCAAGGUCGAGUCACUAGUAGACUGGGACAUUGUAUAUUACGAUCUUCGGGUAACAAAUUCUUCGAUAGAUACAAGACCUCGCCCAAACUGCGCUCACCAAUUUAACCGCCUUGUAGGAUUUCAAGCAUCUUUCAUUAUAUACACUCCUGAGUGCCAGCAGUUAGUC